GGAAGGUUCAACAACUCCAAAUGUGUAUUUAAAAAAAAAAAAAAAUCCCUCCUUUCCCUGCACCUCAGCUUCCAAGGUGGAAAAAUGUGCCUCUGACUGCUUGCAGGUUUCAAGACGGGAACAGAGAUGGGAGGAAUGGGAAGAGAAGGAGAGAAAAGACGGAGAGACAUCUCCCUCCAUUCCUGGGAGAACAAUCGCCUUUGUUCACAGCAGGCUGAGAGAGCUGCUUGGGAAACGCCGGAUCUGGGCUCAGGGCAGGCCACGAUGAUUGAUUAGCAAUGUCAUAUGACCCAGUCAGAGCCAAUGAGACACAAUGAGGCUUUUGCUGGGACUGGAGAGAAAGAGCAAAAGAGAACUUUUUCCUGCUGGACUUAACCUCAAGGGAUGUUAGGUUAGAGGUUCUAGCAGCCACCUUGUCAUCAUGGGGAGAAAGACCAUCUGAGAAGGAAGCCAAUCCCACAGAAGCGGAUCCAAGAUACCGGAAGAGUGAAACGGUCUUCUAAAGCUGUACCUGAAGUCACCUUACUCCUGCCAUUUUUUAGUCUGUGCGGCCCCGUGUCACGUUGUACCUGGUUAUAUGUGCUGAAGUCUCUGAGCUACUCCCACAGUCAAGCUGGUCACAAAUCGGAUUGGGCCUCAUUUUCACCCUGAAGGAAACUGAGGCUGAGAGUUGCUGAGGCCUGCCCUAAAGGUUGUGGCAAGAGACUCAGCUGGAGGUGAGGUUCCUCUCCUCUAACCUCAACAGGACUCUCCCCACUGGUACGCUACAACAGCUUGGAAGGUAAUCGCACUUGUCAGCGUGGGCUUUCCGGAAUAUGUGCUGCUCAUAUUCUGGGAAGGGCAGGCAGCGGGGGUGAGGGUGAGACAGGAAAUCUUUCUGGAGGCUCUGAAGCCAUUCCGGUUUUGGAGCAUCCCCAGCAACUCCCACAGAAUCAAGCCUUUUAAACUGCCUUUUGGAGAGGUUCGACUGAGAGCAAGGCUGCCUCAAUCUGCUUCUGCCCAACUUCCUUUCUGUGAGGCCCCACAAGAGGACUAGAGCAGCGCCCCAGGGAGGAUGCGAGGAGAAUGGGCUGAUUGAGCGAUGUGGGCACAGGGCUGGCUGGCUGCCACCGUGCUGUCUGUCAGCAGGCUACAGGGUGGCUUUUCUUCUUGGUUUGCUUGCAGAGCCAGGGAGGCUGGGUGCCAGGGAGAAUAUUUUCUUUGUUUGGGAAAAGCCGUGUCCAUCUGGCUUGCUCUGUAGCCUGUAGCCUCUCGCCUGAGAAGCUUUCCUGCCACUGGACAUGGAUCCCACUGGCAGGGUCUCUGCUGUGACCGACAGAAGAUGCCGGCCCUGGGAGAGGCAACCAGUGAGGGCCCUACACAGAGCAUGCCUGCGCCUGGACUGACCCAGCCUUCAGUUCAUCCACCCCACAGACAUUGGCUCAGGGUCUCCCCUGGUGGAAUGUGGACCAUGGCCUGUUGUUACAGGCUCAGGUAGAUUGUCGACAAUGGUGCUCCAGUAUUCUCGGCCUGGGGGAGCUUGCAUCCUGCAUAGCCCCUUAAUUUUUGCAGAUGAGGACACUGAGACUCAGAGAUCUGAAAUAGCUUGUCCAAGGUCACACAAGAAAGCCAGGUUCAAGGCCUGGCUCCACCACUGCCUUGUCUUGUGGCCUUGAGCAAGUUCCUUGGCCUUGCUGGGCCUGUUUCCUAAUCUCUGAAGGGGGAUAAGUACCUAGUCCACAAGGCUAAUGUGGGAGUUAAAUGAGAUGAUCCAGCUGAGGGCCUCAUCAAAGGCCCUCUGCUCAUGGGAGGAGUCCCGUACAGUCCACCUCCAUCUCUGAAUCUGCAUUACCCUUGUUUUAUUAUUGUCAUGCAGUUGGCAACAACCACUACAAUCAAAUGAAGACCUCGGAAGCCAAGGCUGUGCAGCUGUUGCACAAAGUUCCUCGAAAGUCCCUCUUGCCUUCCAUCCUCCCCAUGUUCCCACAUGGUAGAGAUGGCAAGUCUCCUUUCUUUCAUUUUACUGAUGAGAUAAAACUUCAGUCAAAGAUGUGUCCUAAACCUGUGCUCUCCACUUCCUGGUUUCCCUGCUCUUUCUGUCUCCACCUGCUGCCAAUUAGAAUAUUCCCACUGGUAGGAUAUUCCAGCCAUGAGGGCGCUGAGUGUGGGAAAGAAGGAAUACCCCCUCCCACCCCAAAUCAAUGGAAAUCACCUCAGCAUUCUUCUUACUGUUUUCUAUUUUUUCUUGGGUUCAUCUCCAGGGGCUGCGGGUUGGGGGCUAAGGACUGGGGGUCCUUGACUGACUGCACAGGGCUGGAUCUGACGGAGCAGAUAGAACGCAUUUCCCAGCUCUGGGGCUGUGGCCAGUGACAACUUUAACGGCAAAGAAUUACCAUCAAUUGUGUCCUGUGGCUGAAGGGAUUUAUGGACAUUUUAUGUGACUCUAUGGACACAGACCCAAGGUUCCAACUGAACAGAGCUGGGAAGAAACACAGUGGCCCUUGUUAAACGGAAAGAAUGAGUUUAAUGUAUACAGGGAGAGGGUAAGGGGUGGCGGUGGGGAGACAGAAGGAAAGGAGGUUCCCCGUGUUAAAUAUUUACAAUUUGGGACUUGGGUCCUGUAUUUCCAAAGGUGGUGGCAGGAGGGUGAUUUCCGUAAUAUAUUCCUCCCUCAAAACCCACCUUGCAUGAGAAACUGCAGCAGGCACAAAAUAUUGCUCAUGAAUAUUAAUCAGUAAACUCCCCCUGCCAGUUGGGAAUGGGGGCUGGUACUAAAAUACUCCCUCCCCAACCCCCAAAGGCAAACAGCCCCCAAGGAAAACCCUGAAGCCAGCUCCCCAGGCUGACAGCAGAAGUAUUCCUGGCCGUGGGGUCAGAGGGCAUGGCCAGGGGAGGGGUCAGCUUUGUUUCCACUGUGUGUUGGUGAAUGCCAAACCUUUAUGGAACUUUGCUAGCUGUGUUUUGGGCUAUUUAGCUGCAAAACCAAAAGAUUUAUUUUUUCCCUCUCUCUCCUUUUGGGUUUUGUCUUCCACUGGCAGCAGUAACAUAUGCAGGUCUGGAGGCCGUUAAGGCAGGCCAGGCUCUCUCCCAUCCGAAGAAAAGAAAAGACAGGUCUUAAUUAAAAGAGAACCCAACAUUUGUAAAGCCAGCACAAACAUUCCCAACAUCCACCACCAUUGCUUCUGUGAUCUUUUCAAUAGACAAAGGAAAAAUGAGUGGCAUGGGAGGCAUCUUUCAUGAUACAUUUUAUCUGUACAACCUGUUACCUUUUUUUUUUUUUUUUUUUUUUUUUUGAGAUGGAGUCUCGCUCUGUCACCCAGGCUGCAGUGCAGUGGCGCCAUCUCGGCUCACUGCAAGCUCUGCCUCCCGG
rnacentral:lncRNA from 1 species